rnacentral:rRNA from 1 species
GAUGAACGCUGGCGGCGUGCCUAAUACAUGCAAGUCGAGCGAACAGACGAGGAGCUUGCUCCUCUGACGUUAGCGGCGGACGGGUGAGUAACACGUGGAUAACCUACCUAUAAGACUGGGAUAACUUCGGGAAACCGGAGCUAAUACCGGAUAAUAUAUUGAACCGCAUGGUUCAAUAGUGAAAGACGGUUUUGCUGUCACUUAUAGAUGGAUCCGCGCCGCAUUAGCUAGUUGGUAAGGUAACGGCUUACCAAGGCAACGAUGCGUAGCCGACCUGAGAGGGUGAUCGGCCACACGGGAACUGAGACACGGUGCAGACUCCUACGGGAGGCAGCAGUAGGGAAUCUUCCGCAAUGGGCGAAAGCCUGACGGAGCAACGCCGCGUGAGUGAUGAAGGUCUUCGGAUCGUAAAACUCUGUUAUUAGGGAAGAACAAAUGUGUAAGUAACUAUGCACGUCUUGACGGUACCUAAUCAGAAAGCCACGGCUAACUACGUG